GAUUGUUUAGUGCACCAAAAGUAGCUGAAGCUGCCAGCAUGAUCUGAUCUAUUUUUGCCCUUAUCAUAGAAAGGCGCAUCAGAUCAUGUUGCAGUUUCAUCUGCUGAUGGGAGCACAAGAUAAACC
rnacentral:pre_miRNA from 1 species